rnacentral:rRNA from 1 species
UUGGAGGGCAAGUCUGGUGCCAGCAGCCGCGGUAAUUCCAGCUCCAAUAGCGUAUAUUAAAGUUGUUGCAGUUAAAAAGCUCGUAGUUGAAUUUCGGGAUCAAUACGUCGGUCGUGCCUCGGUACGUACUAACGUCAUUGAUUUCUCCCUUCUGACGAGCCGUGAUGUCAUUAAUUUGGUGUUACGGGGAGUCAGGACUGUUACUUUGAAAAAAUUAGAGUGUUUAAAGCAGGCAAUCGCUCGAAUACAUUAGCAUGGAAUAAUGAAAUAGGACGUUCGAACCUAUUUUGUUGGUUUCUAGGAUCGACGUAAUGAUUAAUAGGGAUAGUUGGGGGCAUUAGUAUUCAAUUGUCAGAGGUGAAAUUCUUGGAUUUAUUGAAGACUAACUACUGCGAAAGCAUUUGCCAAGGAUGUUUUCAUUAAUCAAGAACGAAAGUUAGGGGAUCGAAGACGAUCAGAUACCGUCGUAGUCUUAACCAUAAACUAUGCCGACUAGGGAUCGGAUGAUGUUAAUUUUUUAAUGACUCAUUCGGCGCCUUACGGGAAAC